rnacentral:lncRNA from 1 species
GGGGUUUUAUUCAUUAAAUAAAGGGGAUUUUCCAGUUUUGGACAAUAACUCAAAAAUGCUUGCAGCAAUUCUCAUUGGAUGGUUUUACUCUAGUAGUAAUUUUUUGGGCCCUUUAUAGCUUGCUGUGCAUUGUGAGCCAAAGCUCUAUGUUGAAGACUGUACUUUGACCUUUAAUGGUUUUACUUUUACAUGUUUUAUAAAUUGUGACUUGGAUGAAGAGUUGUCUCAUUGGCACUCAUACCACAUCUUCUUAUAUCUAUCAUCUUCAUUUUGGCUUUCACAUGAACACAUGUGUCUGUAAUUGUAAAGUAAUAUGAAAAUAGUUUCUGUAAAAUUUUUAUGAAAUGGAUUUCUUUUUAUCCUAUAGGCUAGUUAUCAAAUUUGACCUCCCCUAUGUCAGGAAGGUACAUGUACAUGGAUGUUUAAAAAAUUCCACAAAUGGUGAAGAAAAUGGCAAGGGAAGACACCUAGUAAAUGUUUCAAGUACAAUUCAGCAAUGGUAAGUAUAUUUUUUGUAUGGUGCAAGAUUUUUUUGCUGUGUUGAAAACAAUUCGUGGCCUUCCGUUGUUUUUUGCUCUUUGUCAGACUUACUGUUAUUGAAUAUAUAUAUAUGUACUUUGUAAGACAACUUGCUUUCAAUACAUUAUUUAUGCUGAAACUUUAUUACUAUAUAUUAAGGUAACUUUGCUGUUACAGUCUUUGCCAAACUGAAAUUUAAACUUUUCUACUAUACAUUCAACUAAAACAUCUUGAAAGUUCUUUCUGUCUGAAUUGCUUUUUGUCUGAGACUUGUUGGUAAGACAGAGUUUGGGAUUCACUGCUGUUACAAAUAGUAAGGAGAAUUUAUUAAAAAAGAUAUAAUGCAAUAGAGAAACAACUGAUAACUUAUAAGGGGUAUACUAUACAUGGUAUAUAUCAAUGAAUCAACAUUAGUAAAUACACAGCGAAAAAAAAGAAACACAUACAAUUGCAAGAUGGCCCCUAUAUGGUUUUUUGAACCUCAUCAGGUCAAAAUACAGCUAUGGCAAUUUAACCCCCUUGUAUGGAAAAUUGAACAUUGAGGUAAAAUAUAGAUUUUGGCUUACAAAAAAAUGUAUAUCUCUCUGAAAACAAAGCAUUUAGAGCAAAUCUGACAUGGGGUAAAAUUGUUUAACCAAAUAUUAUGAAACUUACACACCCUGAUAAUAUCAACUAAAUGCAGAUCAAGUACAAAUUUGGGUAGGUCACUUUUACUGUUCUGGAGUUAUUUCCCUUAUUAUAACAUUAUACCUAUGCAAAGGGAGCAUCAUCUGUGUCCCAUGGAGAUAAAAAAAAAAUUAAAUUAUGAAAAUGGACAAAUCUGACAUUUUGAUAAACCAAAUAUUUAUAGUGAAUCUAGUGUUUUAUUUAGAGAUGUCUAAAAGGAUGGAACAUGAUGAUCCGGCAUGUAUUACAGCUGAUUUCCUUAUGCUUGCAAAGUAAAACUUUGGUUGGCUUGCUUGCUUUGUUUGUAUAAUUGUUUAUACAAGCUUUGUGAAUAAGAUUGACAUCUUUAAACAAUAUAUAUAGGCAUAGUUAAACCUGUAUAUAUUAUAGAUAAUUCAUAUCAAUUGGGUGUUAUCCUAAUUUAAAAGUCUAAAAAAAUUUAUCGAUAUAAAAAACGUCUCCUUCUGUCUAAAAUAGAUUUGCAGGUUUUGGCACAUUUGUAAAUUACAUUAACGUUUUGGCAAACACAAAAGCAGUUGCUCACGGUUCGUCAACAUGUUAAAGUUCUCAACACUGUUUAUAUAUUCAUAAAGUUCGUUCCUUAAAUCGCAUAAAGUGGACAUUCAAUUAGUACAUGUUCCUCAGUUUCAGUUUUAUUUUCACACAUAAAGAAAGUCCGUUCAUGCAUUGGUAAACGUUCGAAGUGCUUGGUUUCGAUUCGUAUGGGUGCAACCCCACAUCUGAAUUGCGAAUAUGCUCUACGUUGAGCAGGAGAUAAUAGUGUUUUUAAAUAAAGUUCACAACUAAUUUCGGUUUUAAAUGUUCUAUAUGUCCUUAAUUUGUUACUACCACCAUCCAUACGUCUUGCAAAACUCUAUGUAGAUCUUCCGUCCACUUAUUUCUAAAAUCGUUAAAAGUUUAUCUUCUAUUUUCGCUAAACUAGUUUUGUAUUAUACCAGUCACUAAUAUUACACGUUUCAAACUGCAAUAAAGUUAUAAUUUGAAUUUUUACAUGCUUUAAUAAAACUAUGUUAUUAUAUUAUAUUAUAUUUGAAUUCAAUUGGGUGUUAUCCUAAUAUGAUUGUACAAUAUACAAACAAAGCAAGCAAGCUAACCAAAGUUUUGCUCUACAUGCAUUAGGAAAUUAGCUGUAACCCUGUAUGGAAAAACACUGUCAUUGAGAGUGAAUUGAAACUAUUUGUACCUUUACCAUGUUCAUAAUUAGUACAAAAUGACAUCUAAUAAAGAAUUUAUUCAAAACUUAAUUUAUUUCAUUUAUGUUACAGGAGUUUCUGGAAUGCCAAGCAAAAUCAAAGGAUAUUUUCAUAGAAAGGACUUCUGUAGGCAAAAAAAGUAGGUAUGUGUAUAAAUAUAUUUAUAUUUAUGUAAUAUUUGGAGAGAGAUUUAAAAAAAAAAAUGUUUUAAUCCUUGCUCUUCCAAACACAUUGCAGUUGUUAAAGUUUCAUGGGUUACCUAUUAAAUAAAUGAAUGAAUGAAAAGUUUCAACUUAAUUCUUAUGGUUAUAACACUUUAAAAACUGCUCGAUUUUGUAAGUAAAAAGAUCAGUUGUGGUUACAUUUUGUAUUCAAGAUUGUUUUUAUUACAAAUAUUAAUUGCUUCCAAUUUUUAGCUACAUAUAUUAAAGUUUAAAAAAAAUAUAAAAAUAAGAAGAUGUGGUAUGAUUGCCAAUGAGUCAUUACUCUCCACCAGAGACCAUUGAAGAAGAAUUUAAAAAUUAGCAAAACUCAUGCCAAAUGUAAAACCAAAAAUCAUGUGUCUAAGACUUAAAUAUCAAUCAGUAAACAUCUAAUUGAUUUAGAGUCUAGAGAAUAGACUGCCAUUAAUCAUAGGAUAAGGACAUGAUCUUGUACAAUCUCAAAAUAUAGGUAUCAACAGUUUGUAAAACUGGUCAACAUACAUAUGUGUAUAACAAUAAUGUUUAGUUUGGUUUUAAUUUACUGAUAGCAAAAUCAAUAUUUAUAUUUAUAAAAUACUUUCCAGUUUUAUUCAAAUAUGUUGUUAUAUCAAAACGAGACAAAUAUAAAAAAGUAGAUGUGGUAUUAUUGCCAAUGAGACAACUCUCCACAAGAGACCAAAAUGAGACAGAAAAGCAUGUUUAAAAGUCACUGAGGAUAUGUCAUUAUUUUUAAAACUAACAACUUACAGUAUAUGGGAAUAAAUCAAAUUAAGUUUUUAAAUGUAUGAAUGUAAUUUUUUUUUUUCAGAUGAAGACAACUUCAAGAAGAGUGACAUUUAGAAGAUAGAACAUUCUAUUGAUAUUGUUAUUAUGUCAACAACA